rnacentral:misc_RNA from 1 species
UUCUAAUUCAAGCAAGCUCUUUCUUUACAUAAAGGCUUUAUCUUUCCGUCUAUCUCUAUACGUAGAAGCUUUACCCUCAGCAGCCAUGGAAGCUCUACAUCAUAACCAUACUCUACAUCAAUCUCCUCCUCCUCAAACUUGCAUCUGCAAUUCAUUCUCUCAUCAGAAGAUUCUCCGGAAAACGCAUAUUCACCACCACCCAGUUCCUCACUUACCUCGAAGAAAAGAAUCCAGCGGUUCUCUACACAAAAGUGGUCAAGAGGCAGCGGGAAACACCGCCAGAAUGUGCAGUAUGUUUAUCGGAGUUUGCUGAGGAGGAAAACGUGAGAGACUUGAAGUGCAAACAUGUGUUCCACAAGGAUUGCCUGGACAAGUGGCUGCUGCAAUGCCGGUCUACUUGCCCACUUUGCAGGUGUAAGGUGUUGCCGGACAAGGUAGUCGCUGGUUAUCGCCAGUUUAAGGACGACCAGAUGGAUUAUGAUCGGAGCAAUGAGGAGAUGGUUUUCAUAGUAUCUCGUUUAGAUGGUAAUGGCUUUUUAAGUUUUUGGUGGUAAUGUUAGCUUAGCUUUGUGGGUUUGGAGAGCACAGCAGGAGGAAUUUUUAUUUAGGUUCUGCAGAAAUUAUGUAAAUGUAAUUAUUGUAAUUGUGGAUAUUAGAGGAUGACUACUUGAAGUUGUGAUUUGA